GACGAACGCUGGCGGCGUGCUUAACACAUGCAAGUCGAACGGAAAGGCCCUGCUUUUGUGGGGUGCUCGAGUGGCGAACGGGUGGGUAACACGUGAGUAACCUGCCCUUGACUUUGGGAUAACUUCAGGAAACUGGGGCUAAUACCGGAUAGGGGCUCCUGCUGCAUGGUGGGGGUUGGAAAGUUUCGGCGGUUGGGGAUGGACUCGCGGCUUAUCAGCUUGUUGGUGGGGUAGUGGCUUACCAAGGCUUUGACGGGUAGCCGGCCUGAGAGGGUGACCGGCCACAUUGGGACUGAGAUACGGCCCAGACUCCUACGGGAGGCAGCAGUGGGGAAUAUUGCACAAUGGGCGGAAGCCUGAUGCAGCAACGCCGCGUGCGGGAUGACGGCCUUCGGGUUGUAAACCGCUUUCGCCUGUGACGAAGCGUGAGUGACGGUAAUGGGUAAAGAAGCACCGGCUAACUACGUG
rnacentral:rRNA from 1 species